AUUGAACGCUAGCGGCAUGCCUUACACAUGCAAGUCGAACGGCAGCACGGGUGCUUGCACCUGGUGGCGAGUGGCGAACGGGUGAGUAAUAUAUCGGAACGUACCUUAUUGUGGGGGAUAACGCAGCGAAAGCUGUGCUAAUACCGCAUAAUCCCUAAGGGGGAAAGCGGGGGACCGUAAGGCCUCGCGCAAUUAGAGCGGCCGAUACCUGAUUAGCUAGUUGGUGAGGUAAAGGCUCACCAAGGCAACGAUCAGUAGCUGGUCUGAGAGGACGGUCAGCCACACUGGGACUGAGACACGGCCCAGACUCCUACGGGAGGCAGCAGUGGGGAAUUUUGGACAAUGGGGGCAACCCUGAUCCAGCAAUGCCGCGUGAGUGAAGAAGGCCUUCGGGUUGUAAAGCUCUUUUGUCAGGGAAGAAACAGCAGCUCUAACACAUUUUGCGAAUGACGGUACCUGAAGAAUAAGCACCGGCUAACUACGUGCCAGCCGCCGCAGUAA
rnacentral:rRNA from 1 species